GCUGUUUUGCUUGCUGUUGCUUACUCAAUAAAUUCCUUUCUCUUAUUAAUGCAAUGCUCUCUGAAAAUUAAUUAAGGGGGCAACUUAUAACAAAUGUCACCCACUAAACCAUGUCCCUAAUCACCAGGUCCAACCUGGUUCUCCACCUUUAACCAGCUCUCAGGAUAUGUGACCCAUUAGCCACAGACCUGGGAAUAAUUAACUGACAGACCUGGGAAUGGACGGCACACACAGCCCUGGUGCUGUAGGAGAGUUGUCUUAAGCACACCAUGUGGCUCAACUGGUGCUCUAAGAAGAUUUGUACAAACCUUGAGAAGGAGAUACUAAAAAUGUAUCAAGAUAGUCCAGGAUUCAAACAAGAAGGUCAAAAGCAAAAAGGAUAUAACAUGGAAUAAAGAUCCAUAAUGUGUCUGAAGCUGGAAAAGCAGGCCUGCAGGAUUAUUACUGUAUGCCAAAUGGAUAUCCUGUAGUCUUGACCUCCAUGUGGAAUAUUUCUGUGAAAAUACAAAAAAUUUUCCAGCUAGUAAAUAGAUUCUUUCCUACUAAUAUUGGAGAAAAACCUGUUUGUUGCUGGCAGCCUUCUCUUGGAGGAAUGUGAUGCAGAGCACAGAUAAAAGCACGAGCAUCUGUUAAGAUGAUUGGCAUUAUCCUGACAACAGUGUAAAAAUCAUCUGCUUGGGAUGGCAAGCAGGCACAAGACAAACAAAAUCAACAUCAGCUUCAAUUUGCAAUAAACGAAGAUUUCAGUUGUGGAGAGCCCAUUUACUUUCUACAGAAAGGUAGGAUAUAAAUUAUAUUCACUAGCAUGUCAAAAGGCACAGCAUAAUAACCAGGGUAGUAGCACACAUGUAACACAUAAAUCUUAAAUAUUUUUGCACAAUUUUUGGCUAUCCUACUUUUAUUUCUGUCUCUGUGGACCUGUGGUGCACUCCUAUCCAGUGACCUUUGUGUAGUAUCUUGAUUUUGCAAUACAGAGUUAUAGCACAGCAACCAAGAAAUUUAAUAUCAAACCAGAGUUUGGAAAUUUUAGAUUUUUUUUCCUUGAAGUGAUUGUAGAAAUAUUGUGGUAAAAGGCAAAAUGGCAGUAUCUCCCACAGAACCCACACAAGCAAGACCACUUAGGGACAGACAGAUCUGCUGGCUUGGCCAGCAGAUUCUUUUGAGAAGUCAUUCAAGGAAUAUCACAAGCAGCACAGUAGCUAUUCAGGUUCACUACCAAAACCUCAAUGUUUUAUAUUUUUGGUUCAUGUCUUGGUAAGUAGCAUCUUUCUGAGAAAUUGUGUUGUAAGAUUCAGAGAAAAAUAUUGCAAUCAAGGCUACAUGUCCAUAUCCUAUUAGUGUCUGCAGAUUCAUCAUGCUUGGUGCUUACUGCGCUGCUAUAAAUGAGGGACGCUAUUAUUUUCCUGCACUACUUCUGCUAGUACUACGAACUACUAAGGAUCGGCCAACAAAAGCUGUACGUGAUAAAAUCAGAAGAAAAGUCCAUGUUACAUGACUUCAUACAAGUUUUGUUUUUUUUUAAGUACAUUGCUGUCUCCUUUCAGAGUAUUUAACUUCUAGAUCACCUGUAGAUUUUAUCUAAAUUCUUUAAAUACCCACUUUUACUCCUUCCAGAAGUCUAAGUAAUGCAAAAGGCUCUGUAAAAUGUUCUCUAUGGCCAUGCACAUUAAGAGCACAGUCCUGCUUCCACAGGAUUCUUGUGUAUUUGUCCUCAUCUGUAAGCUCAGCCAAGUGUUAUCUGGCCACUUCACAGAUGAGGAAAUUCUAAGAAAUCUCAGGUUAAAAGGUUAUUCUAGUUGUGACAUCUCAUCUGUAAUUCCAGGCCUUGAAAACAAUUUGUUUCAAUUUGUUUCAGACGUAUUCUCUCCCAGCAGUGUCAGUUUAAGAUUUCAAAACCUGAGCAAAAGAAACCUUUUUCUUUCUGGAAACUCCCACUAGAAAAAGAAAAAAUAAAAUAAAAUUAUGAAGAAAUCCACAACAAAGCUUCCUAUCUGUUUUUGUUCUCCAAGCACAUUUAUCACUCAAACCAUAAGAGCAUGCAUUCCCACAAAUGAAAUUCUUUCCAUCCUCAGUAAAACUCACCACUGACAGAGGAACUCCCACAUGCAUCAGCAAGCUUACCUCUUGUCUUUUAUAUCACACUUGAAGACCUUGUUUGCUUGGAGAUACACAUGGAGACCUCUAGACGGGUUCUCCUUUUACUUUCUCCAGCAUGUUGCCCUUUUAUUAGCACCUGUUCAGAUUUCUUCUUAGUUCUAUGGUCUAGCUAUGGGUGAGCAAUAGUGUGGUCUGCAUAAAAUUGUGGCUUAGCGUUUGCUUCAUACAGUUGAAGUGUCCUUUAACCUGCCAUCAGAGCUGAUCGACCUGGUGAAGAUGGACUGCGUUCAAAUGUUUUACAAAUGAAUGAAAUUCCAUAUUCAGUUGUCAUAUCCGCAGUUACUCACCCUCUGAACGCUCAGAGUUUUAACACAGUUCUUCCUUCCUCGGUAAGGGUUUAAGAUAGGAAUCUAGAUCUUCUAUUUAAGUUCCAGACAGGACGGAAGGAAGUCGGAAUUACAUUUCAUCCAAGAAGUUUCAGGCUCUUCGUUCCUCCUGGACAGAGUGUUUGGGGUUGAUAUUUGGGCCCAGUCCUCAGUAGAGAGGAAGGGAAAGGUUGCAUCAUUUCUCUGAGUCAGUGACCAUUUCAUUGUUGUUCUUGCUCUGUGGUUCUUGUUCUCUGCUAGCUACCUCAGGAGCCGUUGCCACCAAGAUGGUGAGACUAGAUUGUACUUUGCUAUAUCUCUACAUGGUCUGUGAUGUAUAGGUAUUUUUAUUGUCUCUCUGGUGAUUUUUUGUGAUUAUUUUUUCCUGCCAUGGUCAAAAGUUAUUUCUGUUAUUGCUAAGUGCCUUUGGGAAGCAGAGACAUCAGUUAUGAUCAUGACAGAAUCAUAGCACCAGAGGGGAAUACCUUCCUCUCUGCAUAGAUGCUUGUGGCCACUUUGGUUGGCUUUGUUUGACCAACUGUUUGCUCUCAUACAUGUACUUGUCACACUUAGGAGGAAAAAUGAUCUAGAAAAAUGAUGAAGGCUAGAAGGUAUUUGGAGGGCAAUGACAGAUGAAAAGAAACCUUAGAUUCACAAACCCUUCCAAUUUUCAGAUAUAUCCAAAUUCUGGGAAACUAAAAGCUUACAAGUCUCUCCUGUUUCCACAGUUCAUUAUCUUGUGGGGAAAGAUUAACUUCACACAGGAUGUACACUUAUCUGUAAAAUCAGCUGAUUAAAUCAGUGUUGCCCUCAUGAUAUUUCUUCACCAUUUCCAACUUUGGUAUACCUACACAAGCUAUUUUAACACAGAAAUGAAAAGAAUAUAAUGGUAUAUAUCUAAGUUGAAAGUUUUGAAUGGUAUUCAUGUGACUUAGCUCAAACUGCAGGGUGUCAACCUAUGGCCAAUCUAUUCUUCUGUUCUGCUGAAAAUUGGUAAAGAAGAGUGAGUUCUGAGCUAUCAUUCCUCUCACCCUCUAGAGGACACAAAAGUAGGUUAGAAGAGCGUGUGUAGAUGUCACAGUUCUGAUGUGGGUUUAGCAGCAUAGAGAUAUAGCAUGAAAGCAAAUGAGCUUGUGGCUGCAGCUAUAUGGAGGUUUUACACACAGAAGUGUUGGGUGGAGGGGACAUCUGGAGCACCUGAGUCCCAUCCACUCCAGACAAGGCUCACCAUCACUAGAUCAGGUCAUCCAUAGCUUUGUGCAGCCAUCUGUAGACCUAGGACUAACGCACACAUACUGGAAACAGCAUUGACCUCUCUUAGUCCCUUGGUCUCCAUAGCAUCUCUCUGUUCAGGGUGUUAAGUCCCACCCUGGUUCCUCUAAGUGUAUGUGUUUUCCCUUCCUCUCAUUUUAGCAGUUUUUCAUCACUGCUGGUUUUUUGUUUGUUUGUUUGUUUGUUUUUUGGCAUUGUUUAUCAAGUAAGUGUGAUUUAGCUGUGAACUCAAGAAUGCAGAGGUACCCAGCAUAGAAACGUGGAUAUAAAUUCAUUCUGCUCUGUUUAAGGAUUUCAGUGAUCUCAGGCCCCCAAAAAGUCUCUGUGAUACUCUGCCAGUUUUAAUGCUUAAAUGCAGUAUUUCCAAAUAGCAUUAGUUUUAGCUGAGAAAGGAGAACAUGGGUCUAUUCCAGUCCGAGUGCUGAAGAUAUUUCAGCUGUGGUGAUGUCCUGCUGAUUUAUUUAGCUAAUGAGAGCUGAGCCUUAGCAAUUGGGAUAUUGACAUAGAAAUGACAGUAUUUGUGUGCAGACACUCUGUCCAUUGAUACCAGAGAUAUUCGUGGUGCCCCACACUUGUGAGCUGCAAAGUACUCUUGUCUUAUGGAGGGUAAUGUGCAAAUACUUUUUAAAGUUUCGCAUUUGAGUAAGGUUUACAAUACUACUUACAUGCUUAAACCUUAACACACCAGUCAGAGAUGGUCCCAAUGGAGAGCUGCACUGCCAGCCACUUAGGUCUACCACAGAGAGUCCAUUUUUAAAACAUAAAAACCCACUCUCUCUUCUCUUGCAAAAUAUUUAUUCUUGCUUUUCCUAAGCUUUGUUUUUCUCCAACAUUUUUCAGAUAUUGGUGCCAAUGUCAUUUUACAAUGAUUCUGGCUCUGAGUACAAUAUAUUAAACUCUUCCUUUCCACACAAAACAAACAAAUGAAAAGAGAAACAGAAAAUCCUUUAUCUGUUGUCUUUUUUUUUUUUUUUUUCUUUUCAAAAGUAAAUAGUUACCCAUUGUUUUAUAACCACAAAUCACUAGUGAAUGUUACCAAAAACAUUCUGGGAAAAAUGAAGGAUAAUAUAGAUUCCGCUAAACAGAUCUUAGUUUAAAAUAUAUAUAUGUUAUCACAGUAAUAUGCAUUGAUUUUAUUUAUAGAACUUCCCUUUAAAGCACAAAAUACAAAUUUGCACUUACAGGGAGUUAUGUUAUGAUACAUAGAUAUAUGUUUUUCAUUAUUUUUUCACUGAAUUUCACAUAAAAUUCAGGAAGCCACUACUGAAAAAAAAUGCCCAGCAGUAUCCAAACCUGCAGUGUUCCCAUAACCCUUUGCUGCUGAUUUCAAGGAAAAAUAACAAACUGAUAAGUCAUAAUUUCAAUGUUGCAUCUCUUGUUGAUUCUUUGCUUGAUCCUACCCACUUUCUCCCAUUGUAUUUUGGAUUCUUGUGGUGCCAUCCAGCCAAAAUCCAACUUAAAGAGGAGAUUUAAAUCAGCAUGAGCUAAGCAAUUCAUUUCAGCAGAGGUUGUACAGUCCCAGGGAAGUUUGCACAGGUAAAUAAAUGAUUUCAUUCUUAAUGACAAGAAGAGAGCAGAACACUUGGCUCUUCCCCUUGGAAAACAGGCUUUGUUGGCAUUAUAAUUUGAUCAAAUUGCCACUCCACAGUGGGCUGGUGCAUCAUGGUAACAUUGGCUCCGAGCCUGAAGAAAAUUGCCAACAAAAGCCUUAAUAGGUAUGCAGUUAUUCCGGAAAAAGACUCCUGUCAGCAGAGCUUAUUCCACUUUCAAACUGAUUUCAACUAUGCCAAGAAAAGUACUCUCUUGCUCAGGUGAUGAGAUGGUGCCAGUAUUGCUGAAACAAAACACCUCUGAGGUGUGGAUAGCCAUGUAGUGUGCAUGCAUUACAUGUCCAUGAGGUGAGCCCCAGGGGAGGCACACAGCCCAGUCGGUCCCCUGCCAAAAGACGCAGCCUGGAUGUGUCUUAAAGCACAUCACAGAAAUAUGGUCAUCCCCUGCACCUGCUCUGUCCACAGCCUGAUGGCAAAAUCUUUACUUGGCUUGGUUGGUUUGCUUUGUCUUAAGAGAUGGCUUAAGGUGGACUUCAGAAGGACCUACUUGCCAGGCUGCUUGGAUGAGUCCUUACCCCGCAGCCCACAUGCACAAGAGCACUGCUGUCUGCAUUCACAUCACCCCACAGCAGUGCCCAGACACUGCAGAGGUGGCAACUCCAGUCCAGGAGCAGCCACGUGGGACUGUGGGUUUGUGGCACAUACAGGCAGUAUGCUGCAUCUGGAGGGUAACACCUCUGCAGCCCUCGUAGCUACACCCAAAGCACUUCAGGAGGGCUGUGAAUGAGGUGCAAGGAGGGAAGCAUGGGUACAGGUUUGGGAAGCAUAUUUGCUUGUUUUUAUUUCUCCCCAGAAUAUCAAGGAUGGGUGAGUAUUCAGUGGAAGCCCAUUUUCUUCCAAACUUGGAAAUACUCUACAGGAUUGAGGAUUUUCCAAAAUUCCAACUUGCAAGACACAAAGAAAGUUCUUUUCACAAAAUGAUGCCUCGUUUUAACAAAAUAAGAGGAGGACAUCAUGGGGCUGAUGAAAACAUUUGAAAGUGCUAAGUGUAAAAUCAGAAAGAAAAAUAUUUACCUUUCAUGAAGGCAUGAUGGCAAUGAGAAGAUUCUGGAGACAGUUUCAGCUGCUGCUUGGAAACUUGGCACCAUGGCCAAGGGACUCGUUCCUGCAGUCUUUACUCCCCUGAUACAAAGCUGCACUUGGCCUUCUGUAAGCACUCAUGGGGAAAGCGCUGCAGAAACAGACCCAUUUGUUCUCAAGGAGAAAAAUCCUAACAUGUUGGAUUCGGUCAAAAAAAAAAAAAAAAAAAAAAGACAAUUUUCAACAUCUCAAGGAUUAGCCGGAGACCUGAGUCUGUUUCCAGCUCUCCCACAUCUGAUGGGUAAACCUGGCUAUGAUACACCAGGAUUUUGGGUCUCACUUUCUUUCUCUUUAAACAGGAAAGGGAAAUGUGGUUUAGAGAUAAAGAUGCAGUUAUUAUUCAAGAGGUAGAUAUGGCUAUUAUUUUUUAUUACCAGUGCAGGACAUAGUAUUUUCAUGAUACCAUUAAAAGCUUUUCAGCUUCAAACACUGGCUCAAUAUUUUUCUAUUUUUUUCUGUUUUCUUUUCUGCAUGUUCCAGAUCAUGGAAGGAAACUUACCCUUAUCAGGAAAAAUUGGACCAAAAUAGAAUAGAAAGUAAACAUUUUAAAUUAAAUUAAAUUAAGGUAAAUAAUUUAAACUUGUGGUGUGGGAGUGGAAAUAGAUAAUGAUUUUUAGACUAUGAUGUCUUUCUGUUGUUCGGAAUUUGAAGUGAAGGAGACAUUUUUUCUGCUGACAUUACUUUCUCUGCACCUUGGAAAAACAUCUCUGGUGAUAAAAAUAUAAAAGAUCUUUUUAGAGCAAGAAUUAGAAAAAAAUGUCAGGCAGGAAGAAACAAAUUAGCAUAGUAGAGAGACUGAAUUUACUUUAGCACAGCAAGAGGCAAGAAGAGAACGCUGAAUAGGAUCCUGAAGUGCUCCUGCAAUACAGACAAUAGUAAUAUAACAUUAUCCAUGCAUGUGAACAUACUGCUUGCCUGAUUUUUCUUUUUUUGAUAGCUCAUGGUAUUGAGUCAUGGAUGGAAUAUCAGGAAUAUUGAAUAAAGAUUAUGAGCUAUAGGUGUGAUAAAUCCCCAUUCAUGUUAACUUUUCAAGUGUAUGUAUCCACACGUUUGCAUGCUCAGCUAAUGGGGUUAAUACGUGUGUACUUUUCUCGGAGCAGCAUGGGUUUGAACAGCCCCGCACGGGACUGGGACUUCUUUGUACUUCACUCCAUAAGCUCACAGGAAGACAUGGUCUUUGUCCCAAAGCAUUUUAAUGUCUACGUAGAAACAAUGGCAUGAAACAAAAGGAGGGAAGCAGAGAGGGAAAGGGACAAUGAGGUCUCGCAGUUACGUGAGUCAACUCCAUGUACAAUAGAAUUGACCUGAAUCAUCUGAAAGGCUCCUCGGGUAAAUAGCUUUACUGUCCUGGGAUGUGUCCGGGCAGCUGUUGCUUUUACACAGCUUUGAUGGUCUGUCUAUUCAGUUUUUGUUCUGAUGUGGAGGAUGGAGGAUGUUGUUUGCCUUGUAGAAGAAGGAGACCUGGUUUUGAAAAGGGAAGUAGGACUUCCAGGUUUCCAUGCCACUGCAAUGGUUUUGGGAAAUAAAGUGAAACAUUGGACAUACAGUGUUUUUUACAGCAUGUCUGAUGAAUACAACAAGAACAGAUACUGUUUUUAUUAUCUGUCCUAGACUUUUCCAUCUCUAGAGUCUCAGCAGGCUCGGAGAUAUAUUUGGACAGGGAGGAUAUAUUGGACAGGGAUAUAUUUUGGAGUAGAGAGGAUCCUCCUGUGAUUUAAUUUAUAUUCCCCAAGAAAUCAAUAAAAUUUAAUUGCAGCUGACAAUUAACAAAAUUCAUGUAUACCUUCUGUCUUAUCUAAAAGCAUAUUUGUGUGAAGAAAUGCUAGUCCCAAAAUAUCUAUGUGAACAAAAAUGUUUUCACAUGAAUCUUCCUGGAGAAACAGUUGUGUAAAUGCACAAGCCUGCUAGAAACAAACGUCUGGCCAGAGCUGAAAAAAGCAUUCAUGACUCUUUUGCAAACUUACUGAGCCGAAAUAAAUCAAACCAACAUUAUCCGUGUCUUGCUUAGAGCUUCUUCAUUAAAAUUGCAAGGCUCUAAGAUACAGAAUAACUACACAUCCUUCACUGUAAUCAAGUCCCCCAUGCCAAACCAUAGAAACCAGAAGUCAGACUAAUACACAUCCUUCUUAUUAUUAAAGUAUUGGAGGUUUGCCUCACAAAUGUUCUCCAAGCACUUCGUGGAAGAGCAUAAUCCAACACAAAGGUCACCAGCUAUAGCUAUCUGGAGGGAGCCCUUGCUCUGGCACAGGGUACCAUGAGUGGAACAGCUGGUCUCCUUCUUCCUUGGUUUGCCAUCUGCAAUCUGUAGUGCCUUCCUGUCUGUGGCAGGAGCAACAGGGAACACUAGCAGUGGUGAGAUGCUCAUGAAAUUUUAAAGGAAGCACCAUAACAUGGUGAAAGGCUUUUAUUAUCCAUCACACUCCAUGCUGUAAUUUUCAUAUGUAAAAUGUUCUUGUCUGGUCAGCACAGUCUCAUCUGAGUUUCUUUAUAAAUUACAUUGGUGCUUUUUAGAGCGCAAGAGCUACAGGUAGCUCAUUUGCUAUUUCUCUGUAUGUGAGCGGUGCCAGAUGAACUCUAAAUGCUUCUGUCUCCUUCCUUAUUAAGGAUGCUAUUUAUAGCUCCUUUGGCUGCAUUCCACCUGAGGAUCAGAUUGUUUACAUAGAGUGAGGAUAUAUUGUGUUUUUCUAAAUAGAGAGCACAUUUUUUGAUUCAUAAAAAAAAUUCUUUUCCCUGAAUAACAUAAUGGACAGAUCGUACUUCUCACUCCUGGCUGAAAUUCCAAGGUGUUCCAGAAAAAAAAUGGGAUAGUAAGGAUAUUCAAGUGCAUGCAGGAAAAUAAAGUGUGCCCAAGUAAUAAACACAAAUAAAUACACAUAAAUGCAAGUAAAGGUCAUUUAUCUCAAUCAAAUGUUUAACACAGGUUUGUGGUUGCAUUUCUUGCAUCUGGUCCUCUCUGCUACUAACAAUAUAUGAAGUUCUGCACAGUUUUAUCUUUCUUAGGCAGUGCUACUGAUCCC